rnacentral:lncRNA from 1 species
GAAGGGUCUUUCCUUCAUCACUGGCCUUCCAUCGUCCAUUCACGGGUGGAAGAACCAGUUUUUCUUUGUUUCUUCUUCUUCUCCCUGGGGCUUCUCUUCUCAUUGGGGCGUGCCCCGAACCGAGGCAAAUGAGAACAGCCGAGUGGAGGCGGACGACCGGGAGGACUUCCAUCGACUCAAGGACAUGUCAGUCCCGAAGUAGAGGGAGCUUGUUACCGAACAAGCCCUCUAUGAUGCUGGCCUGAGCCUGGUCCCCCGUCUAGGUAUCGCCCGAUCCAUCGGUUGUCUUUUUAUUUGGCAUUUGUUCUCGAGCAUAUACUGAUCC